rnacentral:rRNA from 1 species
AGAGUUUGAUCCUGGCUCAGGAUGAACGCUGGCGGCGUGCUUAACACAUGCAAGUCGAACGAACCUUCGGGUUAGUGGCGGACGGGUGAGUAACGCGUGGGAAUCUGCCCUCAGGAGGGGGAUAACGGUUGGAAACGACCGCUAAUACCCCAUAUGCCGAGAGGUGAAAUGAAUUUCGCCUGAGGAUGAGCCCGCGUCUGAUUAGCUUGUUGGUGAGGUAAUGGCUCACCAAGGCAUCGAUCAGUAGCUGGUCUGAGAGGAUGAUCAGCCACACUGGGACUGAGACACGGCCCAGACUCCUACGGGAGGCAGCAGUGGGGAAUUUUCCGCAAUGGGCGAAAGCCUGACGGAGCAACGCCGCGUGAGGGACGAAGGCCUCUGGGCUGUAAACCUCUUUUCUCAAGGAAGAAGAUAUGACGGUACUUGAGGAAUAAGCCACGGCUAAUUCCGUGCCAGCAGCCGCGGUAAUACGGGAGUGGCAAGCGUUAUCCGGAAUUAUUGGGCGUAAAGCGUCCGCAGGCGGCCUUUCAAGUCUGCUGUUAAAACGUGGAGCUUAACUCCAUCAUGGCAGUGGAAACUGAUUGGCUUGAGUAUGGUAGGGGCAGAGGGAAUUCCCGGUGUAGCGGUGAAAUGCGUAGAUAUCGGGAAGAACACCAGUGGCGAAGGCGCUCUGCUGGGCCAUUACUGACGCUCAUGGACGAAAGCCAGGGGAGCGAAAGGGAUUAGAUACCCCUGUAGUCCUGGCCGUAAACGAUGAACACUAGGUGUCGGGGGAAUCGACCCCUUCGGUGUCGUAGCUAACGCGUUAAGUGUUCCGCCUGGGGAGUACGCACGCAAGUGUGAAACUCAAAGGAAUUGACGGGGGCCCGCACAAGCGGUGGAGUAUGUGGUUUAAUUCGAUGCAACGCGAAGAACCUUACCAGGGCUUGACAUCCUGCGAACCUUUAAGAAAUUAGAGGGUGCCUUCGGGAACGCAGUGACAGGUGGUGCAUGGCUGUCGUCAGCUCGUGUCGUGAGAUGUUGGGUUAAGUCCCGCAACGAGCGCAACCCACGUUUUUAGUUGCCAGCAUUCAGUUGGGCACUCUAGAAAGACCGCCGGUGAUAAACCGGAGGAAGGUGUGGAUGACGUCAAGUCAUCAUGCCCCUUACGUCCUGGGCUACACACGUACUACAAUGCUACGGACAAAGGGCAGCAAACUCGCGAGAGCUAGCAAAUCCCAUAAACCGUGGCUCAGUUCAGAUCGUAGGCUGCAACUCGCCUACGUGAAGUAGGAAUCGCUAGUAAUCGCAGGUCAGCAUACUGCGGUGAAUACGUUCCCGGGCCUUGUACACACCGCCCGUCACACCAUGGAAGUUGGCCACGCCCGAAGUCGUUACUUUAACCCUUGUGGAGAAGGACGCCGAAGGUGGGGCUGAUGACUGGGGUGAAGUCGUAACAAGGUAGCCGUACCGGAAGGUGCGGCUG